CUCUCUCUGGUAAAAAAUAUGAUGAUUUUGAAAAAAAAAUCUGGGACUAUUAGACCCCGUUUACACUGACAAAUAAGAUCGAUCUUUGGUCCAGUGUAAACGGGUAAGAUCGAUCUUCAAUCGGACUUAAAAAGUCUACCUCUAGGGGUGGUUUUAAAAAAAUCGAUCAUAUUUGAAUCGAUCUUUCUUUUUGUGUAAACGCUUAGAUCGAUCGCGAUCGAUCUUUUUUCAGGUGUUUGUUAUAUUUAGAUAGGAAAAUAAAAGUCAGACCGGUUCUUUUUAUGUUGUAGUGUAAACGCACUGGAUUAAAUAAGAUCGAUCUUGCUUGUGCAAUGUAAAUGCGAACUGGGGUGAACGCGGCCCUUGUCUUUUUAAGAUCGAUUCAAAUAAAGAUCGAUUCAGUUUCGUUGCCAGUGUAAACAGGGUCUUAUACUAAUAGUAUAAUAGUCCAGAUAAAAUUUAUAAUAAGAAAAAAAUACAAGAUUGAUAAUGAAAAAACGAAUAUUUAUUUUACUACGAUAUACAACCUUCCCUG
rnacentral:lncRNA from 1 species